UGUUCAAGGACUGUUCACUUUCUGGAUGCAAAAAAUUCAGCCAUGGUCCCUUGUUAAGCUUGUUCACUUUUUACCAUAAAUAUGUGCAAUGUUGAAAGCAAAGCACUGUGAUUGUUUUAUCACUCACAAUAGACAAAACUUGAUUAGCCAUUAAAACCCAUUGGUGUGAUAAUAUUUCACACCAAAAUGUGUUUUAUUGGCAAAUUAAGUUCUUUUACAGCAAAUGAAGAACUG